AAAUCUUUAAGUUAAACAAGGGGCAAUGUAAAGCAAUGUGCUGAAAGUGGACAAGCAAGCCAGGGGGGUCUCUCUGCCCCUCGGGGAUGUGGGCAGCCCCUCAAUCCUCGGGAGACCACAUGGGGAAUAUGUGAUGCAGGGAUGCCUGACAUACAAAAAAAUGACAGAAUGUGCUAGGCUCAGUCCAUAUUUAAAAUGUUGGUAAAGCUUAAUUUUUUUUUCCUUUUUCACUUCUUCUUUUUUAUUUUUUAGAAAAAAAAAACCUAAAUAAUUUUCUUUUUGCAAGCAGUAGAUUAUCUUGUGUACUCUCUAGUGUAUAGUGGGCCACUUAUUUCAGAGGCCACUGAUCUAGUGGGAAGAGUACUAGCCACUUAGAGGGAAAUUCCUCAUAAGCCUGCCAAGAGAAUGGUCUGUAAACUAAAAAGCCACAGCAGUGAAAUAAAUGAUUAUUACUGUUCAGGAAGAUCUAUCUACCUGUGUCACUUAAAUUAUCUUAACCUAAGUCCAUUGCCUUUUUGUGCACUCUCAAAUUAAUCCCCAAUUCCCUAGAGAAUCAGAAUUGCGAUAACCUGAUAGACGAAACUUACCAAAGGGUAUCUGAAACCCUGAGUAGAUGACUGCUUUGUAGCCUUUUCCAUGAACCCCGAGAACCACCUCCUGAGGUCACAGACACCACACCCCUGCCCCCCAGACAUCUUCUCUUCUGCCCCAGGAGUCAAGCCCCACUGAGCCCUGAGCACAGCCCGCUCAGUGGGAACUGCCAUGUACUCCUUCUGACCUCAUCUAGAAUAUUGUAGAAUUAGAUGACCAACCCUGGUUCACAGUGGGCUCCACUCCCAUCAUUUCAGCCUGAACCCACAGAGGCCCUAGUCCUUGUCAAGAAGUCCAAAUUUCUCAUGACUCCAGAGGCAUAAAGAUUCCCACAAAGCAGCCCUGAUUCUUAGAGUGUCUCUUUUAUUAGCAACAAUGGAAACAUUCUCCUUUAUGUUUGCCAGUACAGAUAAAGUCCUGUUGAACAAAGAGUCCUCUUGAACAAACCAGAUCUGCCUCUAGGUUUUGCCAGGGCUGUCUCCUCAGCACAACUCUUCAGACCAAAGAGGAAAGAACAUAUAUGGAGUGGUUCCUAUAUGCCAGACUUCUCCAUCUGGUCUGUAUUUGAAGAUUCCUUGUAGACAACUGUGUUCUUGUCACCCCUGAGAACCUGGUCACGGCCAGGGGUCUGAAUAGAUGGGGACUCACCAUUUACCUGCCAGAUCUGAAAUGACCAGGUCAGCCAUAUCUGUCCUGCAGAGAAUGCUGUUGCCUCAGGAAAAUUCAACAAUUGGCCCCCAACUCAGACAUCAUGAGGCUGAACUGUUAUCCAAACUGGAAAGGAGAGAGAGACAGACAGACAGACAGGCAGAGAGGUAUUUGAAGGUGAUAGGAGACCAGAAAACAGGUCAAGGUGAAAUUCACUAACUAUAGUUUAAUGACGCUAGCAACUUGCCUGGCCACAUUAGCAAAGGAACGGAAGUCUCCUGAAUUCUAAUCUUUCUAAAAUUAGCCAACACAGCCACUAUGAUGGAAAGAACCAUUCAUUUCAUUUCGUAAACCUGCCCUGGGCAGAAUUAUAAGUGAGCAAAGACAAGUUCAUGCCAACUUUUAUCUCUGCUACUAUGACUGACAUGGAAUUUGAAAGGAAGAUCAAGACAAAAGGUGAGGCUCCAAGCAAAGCAAUGUAAUACAUUCAUAUUAAAGACAGAGACACUUUCUUGUGGCUGCCCAACUGCCUACAUAAUUCAGGAAGUUCUUCUACAUUCAAUAAAACUAAUAAAAAGUUUAAGUUUUUUUUUUUUUCCAGAUGAUAUUUAAAGUACCUUUCAAAUCCGAUUAGCCAAACCCUUGUCAUGACUGAAAAGGUCUUCAGACUGAACAUGUACACAGUCCAGCUCUGGUGGGUGUUACUCCGAGGGACCUGUCACUGAAGAGGCCCUAGGCUUCCUAGAGCCACAGGAGUGCCACAGCCCCUGGCAUCAGCCACCUGCCCUGUAAAGGAAAGUAUCUGAAGUCCUAUGUCCUCUGUAUCUGAAGUCCUAUGUCCUCUGGGCUAAAGCCUUGAAGCUCUUCUAGGAGGCAUAACCCAGAUGAACCCUGAGUCAAAGCACUUUCAAGCUACUGGGACAUAGCUGCCCACAAACAGACAGGACGCGCCAGCUGCCCUGCUAUGUAAAUGGACGUAACACGGAACUAAAUGCUUCCUAAGAGGUCAUAUUUUCUAUAAGUAAAUGAUGAAAGAGAAGUACAAAUGUGUGCUGAGGCUGUGAGGGAAAAAAAUGCUAUACACUUGUACUAAAGUAAAACUUGUACUGGGCUAAUGCUUUCCCUAAAUGCAAGACCACUUGGGGAAGAAAAGGAAUAUGUGAACCUAUAGGUUAUUGGAGAACUCUUGAAUGUUUAAACAAAUUAAAACAAAACAGUAUCUCGAGCCAUCACAAGAUAUAAGAUAAAAUGAUGAAAGACUUGAAACAA